rnacentral:rRNA from 1 species
UACAGAGGUCUCAAGCGUUGUUCGGAUUCAUUGGGCGUAAAGAGCGCGCAGGCGGUCGUCCAAGUCGAAUGUGAAAGCCCCCGGCUCAACUGGGGAGGGUCACUCGAUACUGAUCGACUUGAAGGCAGGAGAGGGAAGCGGAAUUCCCGGUGUAGUGGUGAAAUGCGUAGAUAUCGGGAGGAACACCAGUGGCGAAGGCAGCCCCCUGGGAUAACACUGACGCUCAUGCACGAAAGCGUGGGGAGCAAACAGG